rnacentral:other from 1 species
GGAAUUCUGUGAUGUACGAGUUAUCCAUUUUUAGUAUUGACCGAACAUUUUUAUUGAUAUAUUGGGAUCCGUUAGGUGCCAAUGUCAGCAGCACGCCUUAUCAUUUGGUAGCUCAAGACCUUAGUAUGGAACCCACCUGCUUAGACUUUGCGGGAUCAAUACUCCAGGACAAUAAACGGCAUCCACGGAUAUUAC